rnacentral:tRNA from 2 species
AGAAAAGUAAGCUAAUUUAAGCUAAUGGGUUCAUACCCCAUUUAUAGAGGGAGAACCUCUCUUCUCUA